UUCUUAUCAAGAGUGACGGAGGGAUAGGCCCUAUGAAGUCCGGCAACAUCCAAUUAUUUUGGAGAUGUGCUAAUUCCUACAGGUUUAUCCUGAGAGAUGAGAA
rnacentral:ncRNA from 21 species